rnacentral:rRNA from 1 species
GACGAACGCUGGCGGCGUGCUUAACACAUGCAAGUCGAACGGACAGGCCCGGCGCUUGCGGGGUGCUCGAGUGGCGAACGGGUGAGUAACACGCGAGUAUCCUGCCCCUGAAUUUGGGAUAACAUCAGGAAACUGGGGCUAUAACCGGAUAGGAGCUCCUGCUGCACGGGGUGGGAUGGAAAGUUUCGGCGGUUGUGGCUGGACUCGCUGCUUAUCAGCUGGUUGGGGGAGUAGUGGAGUACCAAGGCUUUGACGGGUAGCCGGCCUUGGAGGGUGGCCGGCCACAUUGCGCCUGCGAUACGGCCCAGUCUCGUACGGGAGGCAGUGGUGGGGAAUAUUGCGGAACGGGCCGAAGCCAGAUGCGGCGACGCCGCGUUCGGGAUAACGUCUUUCGGGUUGUAAACCGCUUUCGCCUGUGAUGAGGAGUGAGUGACGGUAAUGGGUAAGGAAGCACCGGCUAACUACGUG